UAUAUAUAUAUAUAUAAUGUGUAUUAUACCUAUUACAAACUGAUUUUGUGAUAAGGUUUAUAAUUCUGGUGUAUUGCAGACCCAAAUGGCCACGUAAAGAACAUGAAUAAUCUUGUUAUAAGUUUAUAAUAGUUUGCAAAGCACAGGCCAUUACAUACAAAAAACUGACUUAAACGCAACACGUCAAACCUUGAGACAGAUGAGCUACAACAGCAGAUGACCAUAUCAGGUUCUACUCGGGUCAGCCAAGAAUAUGAACCUGUGGCUACAGUGGACACAGCUUAACCAAAACUGGACAGAUGAAGAUUGGAAAAAUUGUUGAUGUUUUUCUAGUCUUCCACUGACCAGGUUCUGUGAGCCUGUGCCAGAUGUAAAAAGUGGUUAUUUGAAUUAAUGUGUCUGUCCUGUCAGCCAGUCUCCUCUGACUUCUCUCAUCAACAAGACACUUUAACCUGCAGAACUGCUGCUCAUUGGUUGUUUUUUGUCAUUCUGUAAACUCUACAGGCUGUUUUUUUUGUUUGUUUGUUUGUUUUUCUGAAAUGUUUUUACCAACAUUUACAAUUUUACUAACGAACAUUUGUUGUGCACUGAUAUUACAAAACCCACAUCCAGUUUGUUUGGCAGGUAGAAUUAAAAAUACAUACAUACAUAUAUAUAUAUAUAUAUAUAUAUAUAUAUAUAUAUAUAUAUAUAUAUAUAUAUAUAUUUCUGUUUAUGCUGAUGGCUCAGCACAAGUUUUUAUUAUAGCAACCAGUAAUCAUUCUUAAGCCCUAAUCGUUUGCAUAAUUAUCAUUUGACAAUGAUAUGUUUAUAGGAAAAUUGCAGAUUAUUUUUGUACUCAAAAAUACUCAGGAGCUUUACAGAUGCAGUUUUGCCAACAAGCCUGCUCUUAUUGUAAUGUGUUUCUUUUAGUUACUGUGCUUUUCUUACAUUUCUGUCCUGUUAUGCAAGUGUGUUUCCUCUUGGUUUUCUGUCUCACCUCAACCGUUUCAACGUGGCAGCUCUCCGUUCCUUGUCUAUCUCUCGGCACACUAAAUGUGUGAGACAGUAACACUAACAAACUAUUACCGGACUUGAUUUCAAAAUAGAAGAGAGAAAUGAGUUCCACUUUCUUUCCUCUUCUUUCUCCCACGCUUGAUGGUAUUUUCUGACAAGCCUGAACUGAUUGGUGUGAGAAUUCUUAAUGAGCCUAAAUGUCUGCACAAAACCGUCAUAUUUUCUUUUUAAUUGGUGUUGUAGUGAUGUUGACACCGCACACACAGUCAGAAGGAAGUGUAUGAAUAUGAUGAAAUAUAUGAUGAGUAUGCACACACUUAUUAAUGGACUCAAAAGUAUGAAGUACCCACCCCACACACACACACACACACACACACACACACACACACACACACACACACACACACACACACACACGUUGCCACUUCUUAUACUUACUUUUCCACUUGCAGGUGCUGAUGGGGAUGAAGGGUGGGGGGAGUUAGAAAGUCAUUGUGCUGCAACUGUGUACAGAAGCAGGAGGGAUUCAUAAAGCACAGUAGAGACAACAACCAAAAACCCCCAGCAGCUGCCUCUGCACCAACCUGCUUCUCUCUGACAGUACAGCGAGUCCGGACCUGACCAAGCGGGAGCACGGCAGGAAACUUAGAAAGAGAAGAACCAGAGAAGAGCGGUAACAACCAAUUGUGUUGGAUUUUUAGGAUGUAUGGAGGACACAGAGGUUUCAGGUUUACCAGUCCAAAUGGGGAAAACAAGAUAAAGUAAAGGUGAGUCAGUUUUUUUUUUCUGAAGAACAUCUCUUUCCCUGACUGUGUGGCUUAGUGUCUAGAAGUCUGUUGUUUUCAAUGUGAGCUGGUGAACUGCAGCAUCAGGAAGUGGAGCAACCAUUACGAAUGCAAAGUGGUCAAGGUUAGUGUUCAACUUCAUGCAAAUUAGUCGCAGUGGUAGCUCAGUGGUUAAGACGUUGGACUAGUAAUUAGAAGGUCAUGCCAAGCUGCCACUGUUGGGACUUUUAGCAAGGCCCUUAACCCUAAAGCUGUAUAAAUGCUCAGAUGUAUAAAUGUACAUAAAUGUAAAUCACUCUGGAUAAUGGUGUCUGCCAUGAAUGCAAAUGUAAAUGUAGAAGGGAUGGUGGUUCACUCAUCCUUGACUCUGAAAUUAUCUGUGUUCCACAUACACCGAUCAGCCAUAACAUUAAAACCACUGACAGGUGACAUGAAUAACAUUGAUUAUCUCAUGACAACUGUCAUGAGAUAGCAACUGUCAAGGUGGCGACAGGCGGCUGAUUGAUUGAAGGCAAGCCUGUCUGGUGCAAAGUCCAUAGAAGACCUACUGUAGUACAAAUUGCCAAAAAAGUUAAUACUGUUUAAUGAUUUCUUGUACAUCAUGUGAACUUCUGGGUGUGUGUGCAUUGCUUACCUGGGGAAGUAAUGGCACCAGGAAGGCAAGCCACAGAGGCAGUGGGAUGCUCUGGGGAAUGUUCAUUCAUGUUGGUCCUGGCAUUCAUGUGGAUGUCACGUUGACACGUACCACCUACUUAAUAUUGUUUCAGACCAAAUACACCCUUCAUGGCAACAUUAUUCCCUAAUUACAGUGUCCUCUUGCAGCAGGGUAAUGCUCCCUGCCACACUGCAAAAAUUGUUCAGGAAUGGUUUGAGGAACAAAGAGUUCAAGGUGUUGACUUGGCCUCCAAAUUCCCCAGAUCUCAAUCUGAUCAAGCAUAUUUGGGAUAUACUGGACAAACAAGUCCAAUCCAUGGAGGCCCUACCUUGCAACCUACAGGACUUAAAGGAUCUGCUGCUAACGUCUUAGUGCCAGAUGCCACAGCACACCUUCAGAGGUCUUGUGGAGUUCAUGCCUCAACAGGUCAGAGCUGUCUUGGUGGCACAAGGGGGAUCUACACAAAAUUAUGGCAGGUGACAUUAAUGUUAUGGUUGACCGGUGUAAUUUCUCCUAUGGAUAGCUUCUGAGCCAGUUGGUUAUAUUUUGCUGUACUGUUACCACUCAAUGUGUUAAAUCAACCUAAAUAGAAUGGUGAUAUGCUGACUAAACCCAUAAAAAAUUUUUAUCCCAAUAAAUAGGUUGUAGAAAUCGUGAAAACGUUGUUUUAGGUCCACAGACUGUCAUAUACUUAUGCACAAGCCUUUUUUUAUCUGAUUACUGGUCUAAUGAGUGGUUAUGUAUACAUUCUGUCACUAGCUUGUGCAGAUAUUGUUGCACGUGUGGAUAUUGCAUUAGCCAUGCUCAGUGAAACCAUGGCAACCCGCAGUAAAAUAAAGAUUACUGCUGAAAAAACAAUGCCCAUUAGCAAAACAUUAUGGAGAAAUUUGACGGAUGUGCAGCAAAAAGGUCGCUAUUGAUGUGCAGGCAGAAUUUCAGUAUGUAUUCUAUUACACACCAACAUAUAGGCACUUCGAAAUGAACUGUCAAGACCAUGUAGCCUUGAGUGAGCUAAAAUGUAGCCAUUUCUUACUGUACAGUUGAACAAACAUUUUCUGGUAUUUUUACAAUCUUCUUCAUAAUGUUGCAUGAAUGAGAAGGUGUACAGAUGUUUCUACUGAAGUGGCCAUAAAGUGUUAAUCAAAUCAAAAUUAUCCAACCCCCAUUGCAAAUCAGGUUUAUUUGAUUUCUCCAGUCUCCAAAUUAUUCAACCUCUUCAUGGCAAGCAUCUGUAGUACUUAGUAGAACACACUUUUGUUGUCAUGACCUGCUGCAAACGAGAUGCAUUGCCAGACACCAGCUUCUGGCAGCAUUCCUGGGAAUUCUAAGCCCAUUCCUCAUGAGCAACGGCCUCCAGCUCAUUAAUAUUAUUGGGUUUGUGUACUGCAGCUGUCUUCUUCAAAUCCCACCAGAGAUUUUCUAUGGGGUUCAAGUCAGGUGACUGUGAUGGCCCUCUUGAAUCUUACAGGACUUCUUUUGCAACCAAGCCUUGGUGGAAUUUGAGGUAUGCUUGGGGUCAUUGUCCUGUUGUUAGGUCCAAUGAUGCCCAAGCUUCAGCUUCCUCACAGACGGCAUGAUGUUCUCUCCUAUGAUUUUUUGAUACUUCAAUGAAUCCAUCUUGCCUUCCACAUGCUGCAGGUUUCCAGUGCCACAGGUUGCAAAGCAGCCCCAGAGCAUCACUGAGUGUUCUUUCUUCAUUCUUCUUUCUCCAGACAUACCGCUGAUCCACCCUGCCAAAAAAAUCCAGUUUUGUUUCAUCGCUCCACAGAACAGAAUCCCCAAAAAAUCUGGUUGCAACAUUUGAUAGCUUCCUUUUUCUGCCCCGUCCAGGUAUUUCGUGUGUUCCAGCUCAAGCACACCUGGUGCAACUAAUUAAGCCCUUGAUUAGUUGCAUUAGGUGUGCUUGAGAAAACACUUGUUUUGCAUAGUUGUGCUGUUGUGAGGGAUUCUAUUCAGGGGUUGAAUAAUUUUGAGACUGGAGAAGUCAUUAUAAGUUGCAUUUUCAGUUGAAUUUGGGAAAACCACUUGAAGCAUUCAUUGUGUUGAACUAUUUCAAUUGCUUUUUUUUAAUUUGUUCAUUGCAAACAGCUGAAAUUCUGUAAAUUUUUAUAAUAAACCUGAUUUGCAAUGGGAGUUGAAUAAUUUUGAUUGAAACUGUAUGUGAUCUCUGUGGUCCUCUUCAGACUUAUUUGUGCAACUUUUAAUUGUGCAAUUUCUGUACUCUCAGGCUAUAGGCUGGCGAAAGCCUGUAGGUGUCGGUUUGAUGAGUUUUCUCCUACUUUUUCCUCCUGCACUAUUGUGUAACAGAUUACCUGAACUUUUGAACAAAUCUUUCUUGCUUAAUAGCUAAUGUACAUUCUCCCCGAUGUAAUCUGACUGUGUAUGCCGUCUGGUUCUCACACACUGUUCAUCAUACAUCAAGGCAGCACCAGAGCAAGCACAUCAAUCUUGGGAGAUUAUUACUUUUGCUUAUUUGUGAGUGUGAGAGAGAUCAGGUCUGCAAUAGAUCCACCAGAACGUAGCACAUUGUGUGUUCCUGGAUGUGUGUGUGUAUUAGUGUGUGAAUGCUGGUUUGAGAGGUACAAAGGGUCCUUACCUCACAGCAUUGGCAUUCCCUGAGAGAAUGAGUGCGGUACAGAGCAAAGGAGAGAGGGGCACACAGUGGGGGCAUUCAUAGGCCUUGUCCCCACGGGAAGGAACCAGGGUCGAGUAUUAGCCCCUAUUAAUAAACAAAGCCAGCCCAGCAGGGGCCUGGCGCACUACACUGACAGUGCGCAGAGAGAGAAAGAGCAGUUUGGGGGGGGCUAAAGGGAGAGGGAGUGAGAGAGAGAGAGAGAGAGAGAGAGAGAGAGAGAGAGAGAGAGAGAGAGAGAGAGCGAGCGAGCGAGCAGGGCAUUUGAGUUCAUGCCUAUAUGUCAUUGUCCCCUGGAACUGUCUCAUCGGACUAGCAUUUUGUAGCAAAGUGAAGUGUUUUAUUAUUGCUGCACUCCAGAUGUUGCUUACCUGCUCAUGAUGUCUGACUUUGCAGCACUGUUUCAUAAUAAAGAUGAACAGCCUUUAGAAGUCUGUUAAUCUUUUUGUCCCUUAGCAUUUCUUUGUUUCCUGUACAGUUUAAUCUACAGUUUGUUGCACAAUAUUUUCUUUAUCUCAUCAAAUCCAUUAGUCACACUGAAGGAGAUUAUUUGUAUAACUGAAAAAGAGGAGAGAAAGAGAGAGAGAGACUUUUUUUCAGUCUUUUUAGUUUAAUUCCAAAUGGUAUUGCCAUUCCCUCCAGGCCCUGAGCGAUAAAUUGGAAACAUGUGCUUAUAUGUAAGCUUAGCCAACAUCUUCCCUGCAGCUCAGCUCACCAUGGCAACAGUAAUUACCAUGCAUGUCUGUAAUGAUGCAGGGAAAACAGUGGCAAAUCUGUGGAAAUAUGACUUACACCGAGCCGCUAGUUUAUUAGGGACACCUAUCUCUCCUGUGUGAAUGUGCCUGGGCAUGUAUUCUAUAUAGGCUUUACAGUAUGUACACCUGCAGAAAGGACUGCCUUUCUCAGUCUCUGGAAACUGGAUGGCUACAAAUAGAACUGAGUUUUAUACAAACUGUUACAAUGGGCAGAUGAUCUUGGUGAGCAGUGAUGUUCACACACACACACUGUCAUUCAGAAUUUCUUCAGUGGGUGUUAGUGGCAUUGAUCAAGAUGGUGUGGGACCGGGAUCCUGUAGAACCAAACAAAAAGUUGUAGGAGCAGGUGUUUUUAGUCUCGUGGGUGGGAGCAGGACAAAGAAAGGCUAUGUUCAUUAACACGGAAGUGUAUUGGGCAUGGAGUGGUGCUUAUGUGGCGCUGCUGAAAUGUUUACCACAUCUGAUGUAAAUUGGACUUUAUUUGUUCAAUUAUCUUAUGUAAAUGCUUUAUCCUAGUCUGGUUCAUUGUGGUUAAAAUUUGAAUUUUGGAUAACAGAACCAACUAAGCUGAAUAAUAUUAGAAAAUAUUGUGGGCGUCAGUGCCGUAGCUAUGGGAGAGGAAUAUUUCCAGUUCCAAAUGGUUAAUUGUGGAGAAUUAACGUAACACACAUAUAGAGAGCAACUUAUUAUAUAAACAUUUUUUAACAUAAUUAUAGUGCAAUUACAGAGCAAAACAAUGUGAUUCAAUGUCAGAUAACAUUUUAUACAGCAGGUGUGCUGUAGUGAUAUUCAUAGAAGGUCAAUGGAGUCUUCCAUAUUUAACAACUCCGACCCUCAGAUGAGCAAAUUAACAAGUCCUGUGGCUUGUGAAAUCAGAUUUUAUUGGCUGCCAGUCAGAGAGAAACAAGAUUAACCAAUCAGAGUCAUGCAUUAAUCCCAUUUCAUUUUGAGAGCCAGCUCGCUACACACUGAGCUCAGGGAUCUCGAGUGACGGCGGGUGAUGAAGUACCACAGGUUGAUUGCUGGAGGAGAAACUAAACCAUAGAUCUGGUUUAAUAUGAUAAAAUAUAAUUUCCCCUAUUUCAAACAUCUUAUUUUAAUAAUUUUAAUUGGAACUGUCGUAAAGGUAUUUUAUGGAAACUUUAUUAAUAUAUGGUAAAUGGUCUGCAGUUAUAUAGCACUUUUUAACCUUAGUGGUUCCAAAUCACUUUACACUGGUUCUCAUUCACACACACACACACACUCACAGACCAAUGGUAGCAGAGCUGCCAUGCAAGGCACUAGCUUGCCAUUGGGAGAAACUUGGGGUUCAGCGUCUUGCCCAAGGACACUUCGGCAUGUGGAGUCAUGUGGGCCGGGAAUCGAACUUCCAACCCUUCAAUUAUAUACGAUUAUAUCAAGACUGGUUGAUGGUAGCUAGUGCCUUAAAUGAUUAAAGUAACAAAUUUGUUAUUUUAUAACAAAUCAGCACUCCUACUGCUAUCUGACAUCCACCCAAAGUACAUGAAUAUGUCACACUUAUUAUACUAACAGUAUAAUAGUACAGAUUAUAUAAUGCACAUACCUCUACUUCCAAAAAACUGAUGCUGAAUUAGCUCAGUAGACAUGUGCCUUUGUAUUCUUCACUGGCAACAUUGGUUUGCUUUGCUGACUUGACUGAUGUACCGCAUUCAAGACAAAUUCUAAGUGAAGCAUUCUGAGAUGUAAUUCUGCAUGCCAAUGUUGAAUUUCGAGAGUAGAUCUCUGGUUGUACCCUGCCUGUUGCUUGCCAGAUUUGUGCCAUCCUCCUUUAGUCACACUAUUACUUUACUGUAGUUAUAUUAGUGGUCAGAGUUUGUGGUUUACAGAUAAGAAAUUAGUGACUUAUACUUUACCAAUGUCUGUCAAGUGUGUUUCCUCUGUUCAAAUCAUAAAUCAAGAAACCUUGAGAGCAACCAAAAGGGAACCCAUCUUCUUCUGGGUGACAGUGGAUAGUGGGAAUAUAAAUCAUUACAGUAUACAGAUUUUAAAGGACAAACAAAGUAAAGGCCAGUUUAUGUUAAAAGGAUGUUCUCACUUCCACAUUCCAUAUAUUAUUUGUUAUCUUCCUUCGACUUGGAGUGACUCAGUGCCUUAAAAGUGAGACGCUCACAGUACUCCAAAACCACAUGGGGAAGGCUGACUGUACUCAUUACACAGAAUAUUUAUGAUCCCCUCAGUUAAUGCAGUCACUAUAAUGACUUAUUGUUGUGAUUUAAUCAUGCCCGGUAAGUAGUGUAAUGGACAUUAAGGCAUGUGGCAUAAUAAAUAAUGUCAGAACCCUAGAGAUUCAGCCUUCCACAGUCCAUCAGUAAAGCUGCUGGUGCUGUGAUUUGUCCACAUUUCAAAAAGCGCAUAUAAUUUAAUGUAAUGCAGCUAUGUGGUGUAGUCUUAUUCAUUAGAGUAUGCAGAGUCUACCUCCAGUCCUCUCCUAUACAGGUAGGCAACUCUCCUCACAUCUGGCCUGAAUAUUGAGGCUGAUCCAAGCACUCUAUCAACUUUUGAUAUUCCUUGCAUGCUUCCUAGUCAGCCUCCUUUAGCAUUUCUUGUGUCAAGUAUUGAGUGACAUAAAUUACCACGUGUUCAAGCAACUACUGUAGAUUUCGACAUGUGCUGCUGUUCAGGGGCCCUAAUGUUGGCAGGGACAUUAACACAUACUGCCAACAGUCUUUUAUCAGUUGGUAGUAGUUUCAAAUCAUUUGUAUAUACAGUUAGCUUCAGCAUUAUUGGCACCUUUGGUAAUAAAAGUUUGUGAAAAAAUGUCCUUGUACUUAAUUAGCAGGUCAAUCUCGCAUUGAACAUAUAAGAGAAAUCUAACCUUUAAUUGAACUAAAUUUAGUCUAAGAAAAAACCCUUAUCAAUAUAUACAGUACUGUGCAAAAGUUAUAAGUGCAUGAAAUGAAAUGCUGUAGAGCAAAGAAUUAAAUGUUUCUACAUAAAAAAAAAUACUAUAAAGAGCAAUAAACAGUAGUAAAUGAAACAAAGUCAAUAUUUGGUGUGACAUAAAAGUAAAAUAAUAGUCUCCGGUACAAUUUCUUGCAGUUUUAUAAGGAAAUUAGCUGUUAAGUUUUAUUGAGCAUCUUCCAGAAUCAGCCACAGUUCUUCUGGAGACUUUGACUGUCGCACUCACUUCCUAAUUUUGCAGCAAAACCCAGCAGCCUUCUUUGUGUUUUCUGUCUGAAUAGUGUCUCUUACGUAAUAUGCUGCAUUUCUUUAAUGACAUACGAACAUUUUUCUGUAGCCUUUGAUUUUGUGCUAGAAAACUAAUGUUUCUGAAUCUAAAAUGUUUUUUGUACUGAUUUGAUAAUGUAGAAGUCAUAAAAUAAAAAAUCUAUAGCAAAGUUUGUACUAAAAAAAGGGCCUAAAACCUUUGCACAGUACACACACAAAUGAAAUGAGAUAAAAGUCUUUAUAAAAAUACACACAUGUUUGAAAAUGCCCUAUCUUCUCUCUCAGGACAAUAAUUAAGAAGUUUAAAACAACUGAAGAUGUCUGGAAGAGGACGCAAAGUGUAUUUUGACCCCACACACAGUGAGGAGAGUGUUUAGAGAGGCAAACAUUUAUCACAGUUGGAGAUUUGUAGAAGAUGGUAGCAUUUUGGGGUCACCAAAUCUUUAAAUCUACAAUUAUACACCACCUACAUGCCAACAAACUAUUUGGAAGGCUUGCCAGAAGAAAGAAUUUUCUUUCAUCUAACCACAAACCACCUGGACUUCUCGAGAUGCUUGGGGAACUUUGACUGGAACCAGAUUCUAUAGUUAGGUGAGACAAAAAAUAUAAAACGAACACUAAAGGUAGAUUUGGUAUAAAAAUACGGAUGGUUCUACAGCAAAGGUCCUAAUCCUCACUGUUGAGUAUGGUGGAUCUGUGAUGAUCUGGGGCUGUUCUUCUGACAAAGACCCUGGGAAACUUGUUAGGACACUCAGCAUUAUGGAUUCCAUGAUGUAUCAGGAGAUCUUAAAUAAAAAUCUGACUGCAUCCGGGUUGUGGUUGGAUUUUUUCAGCAGGACAAUGAUUCAAAACAAGUUCACAGAAUCAAGCUUUUGACAUGGCCAUCCCAUUGUGAAAACCUGUGGAGUGAGCUGAAGGGGAGAGUCCACAAAGGAGGACACAGGAUUCUGUCAUAAGGAAAAGUCUCAGAUUCCUUGGUCUUUAUAUCUCAUGAAGCAUACUAAAUGCAAGGGUGGCAUUAACUGUGACUUGGUUUGUUUUCUCUCAUACUAUAUAUUAAGUCUAAGACUUAGCUAAUUUAUUUUCUGAUACUGAAAUUGAAUCCUCAAGUAUCAGCUGGUAUUGAUACCCAUUCCUUGAAAAACUACUUUAAAGCUUUAAAAAGAAAUUUUUUUUUACCAUUUCACAGUUAAACUCUUUCACACAAAUUCACGUACAUUGUAAAUAUAAUAAUGCAAAAAAAAUAAAUAUAAUAAAAUCAGUCCUAAGAAAAGGAAAAAAAUACUUUUUUUGGUAAAUAUUUCAAGUUCCAAAAAUGAACCCAAUCCAAUUCCUGUGUUUGCCAUUUUGCCAUUAUUUUGAUAUUCAGUGUUUUCUCUGAUAUUCGAUCCACCAUUUUUUGCUGGUAUUGCCCCGAUACUAGAUAUCACAUCUGUGUUUGCUCUAAACCCAUUUUUUAUUGAGAGUGCCAAUUCCAAUGGACUUGACCACACCAGCUUUGCCCAUCUAAUUGAAAUUUACUGAAAUUGAAAUAGUGAUAUUAAAAUAAAAAUAAAUGUCUUGCAUAAUCUGAAGACAAAUUUCAGACAACAGAUUAUUUGCCUUUUUUGCCACUCUUUAUUUUCUCUCUACAAACCUGGCUGUUUCUGUGUGUUUUGCACAAGAGAUUGCAUGAUAACAAGAGCAAGGGGUUGCAGGUUGUAUGUGCUUUGUAAUUCUCCUGCUCUAUAGAGAGGCCUGGGGAUGUCAGGUGCAUGAUGGGAAGUGGGCUGGCAGGGGACAGCAGCGUGGCGGUAGGCCAGAAUCAAUUGGCAGUGUAAUGAGAUGGCUGGGUGCCAGGUUACCAUGGAGUUCCCUCUGCCCCGCCUUCACUGAAGCCCUGGUAAAUUAAAGGGAGAGCAUGAGCUUGGGAGGGAGAAAGACGAAAGACGAGAGAGAGAAAAAAGGAGAGAGUGGGUGGUGGUUGGAUAGUAAAGGCCACUACCAAAGGAGAAGGUAUGGAGGGUGCUAGACAGAUGCAGUGAUCUGGAUGAAAGAAAAGAAAAGAAGAGAAGAGAAGAGAGAGCGAGGGUUGAAAUGCCACAGCUCCAGAGGAAAACAUAGUUCAGCUCAUAUGAUGUGGGUCUAUAAUAUGUUCUGAAGUCUUUUCCACACAAGGAAUUCAGUGUAAACGCUUUUGUCUUUGGUUGUGUGCCUCUGGAAAUGAGCGCUAUCUCCGUUUCUAUCACUGUGCCAGCAAUUAUAUAGCCUUUUCAUUCGUCACUCCUUAAGAUCACAAUCAGAUAGACUGGUGCUGGGCCACUCUCCUUUUAUCCAGUUUGAUCCAUCUUCAAAGUGAAUGCCACUAUUGUGCAAGGUUUACUGAAUUAUUAUGCAGUGUAGUUCAUUUCAAGCAUUGUGUUCUAUAUUAUUAUACAUUUUUUUUAGAAAGACCUUUGCUCAGGAGUGAUUUUAUUAAAGCUAUGAAAGCUAUGCUCUAGUACAUAUAAUAUUCUGUAUUAGCUAGAAUAAACCAAAGUGCUUUUAUUUUCAUAAUUAUUUUUUUAAUUAUUCAGCAACAUAGCACUUGGUACAGAUUGGUACAGGUUAGUCUGUGGUUAGUCUGUUUGAAUUUCAUAACUUUUAUUGCAAACCAACGUUCACCAUUCUGCUACUUAAAGUAAAAUCUGUAGUUUGCAUGUUCUCCACAUGCUUUGGGGGCUUCCUCCGGAUACUCCUUUUCCUCCCACAGUCCACAGACAUGCGUUGUAGGCUGAUUGGCAUUUCUAAAUUAUCUGUAGUGUGUGAAUGAGUGUGUGUGUGUGUGUGUGUGUGUGUGUGUGUGUGUGUGUGUGUGUGUGUGUGAUGGCUUGGUACCCCGUCCAGGGUGUCCUCCACCUUGUGCCCCGAGUCCCCGGGAUAGGCUCCAGGCACCCCACAACCCUGUGUAGGAUAAGCAGUACAGAAAAUGGAUGGAUGUUUUUUCUGUCACUGACACUAUGGUCACAUGGUACUAUAUGGUGUAGGUUUUAGUGGGUAUGUUUUAUAUAUUAUAUGUAAAAAAAUAUAUAUAUACAUAUAUAUUGUAUAUGAGGAUAUAAAUUUGUAAAAUGUGAUGUAAAAUAAUGUAUAUAAGCAUGGAAUAAUACACCACAGGGUGUGUUGUUAUAGUUAAAGAAAGAAAGAUGGGGUAGAGUAAUGUGGAUUAAGUUGAUUAUUUUUCAUUAACAGCACAUCCUACAGUGUUCAAUAAUAACAACCGCAAACAGCAGCAACUGUUACAAUGUUUUCUAUAUUAACGAUCAUCACAUUUGGUCUGUUGAUAGUUAUGCUGAAUGUUAUCACUUACAUAUUUUUAUACUGUAGCAGCUGUAAACAGUCAUCAUCCAUCCAUCCAUCGGUCCAUCUUCUACUGCUUACUCCUUUUCAGGGUCACGGGGAACCUGGAGCCUAUCCCAGGGAGCAUCGGGCUCAAGGCGGGGUACACUCUGGACAGGGUGCCAAUCCAACGCAGGGCACAAUACAGUCAUAAUCUAACAAUCUUUUUAAGACAAAACAUGUUUCACAGAGAAACUGCAAAGCUCUCCACACUGAUGACUUUCCCAUGUUCUGUACAGUUAUAGUUCUGGUAUGCAGUACUGACAAUAGAGACUCCAUUCAAAAAGGAUAAAUAAUUUAAUGGUAAAUAAAUUUCCUCAGAGAAAACUUAACCGAGAUUAAAUUUAACUGGUAUUAAAACUUAAUAUCGAGAAUGACACAUUUUUUUAACGUUUUUAUGUGCCAAGUCCCUGUGUCAGUUGCUGCUAUAGAAACAAUAACAUUCGAACAAAUGCUUUAAUAUAAGAGCCAAGCUAUUAUAGAAAAUACUGAAUAUCAAAACCUUCUGACCAAUCAGAAUCAAGCAUUGAUAUAAGUAAUAAACAUCCAUCCAUCCAUCUUCUACCGCUUACUCCUUUUCAGGGUCACGGGGAACCUGGAGCCUAUCCCAGGAAGCAUCGGGCACGAGGCGGGGUACAGGGUGCCAGUCCAUCACAGGGCACAAUCAAAUACACACUCAUUCAUACACUACGGACACUUUGGACAUGCGAAUCAGCAUACCAUGCAUGUCUUUGGACUUGGGGAGGAAACCAGAGUACCCGGAGGAAACCCCCGCAGCACGGGUAGAACAUGCAAACUUCGCAUACACAUGGCCCCAGCGGGACUCGAACCCCAGACCCUGGAGGUGUGAGGCAAACGUGCUAACCACUAUCAUGCUGUUACAGGCAAAUAAUCAUUUUCCAAAGUGUUUUAUGCUUCUUAUAUCACUGCGAUUUGCCAACUAUUAUAAUUUAAAAUGUAUUAAUGAAUGCCACAUCAUAUUUUUUUUUAACAGUUUAACAUUAGUUACAUUUAAUGUUGUGAAACAUCUGUGAGACAAGCUAGUUCCUGCUAAAAUUUAUGUUACAGAACGUGAAGUUAAUUAGAGAAAAAUUCAGCUUAUCAUGCUACCAAGAAACCAGAAAGUGGAAACUCCUCUGUCCUUUAUUGACUAUUACAAAACACUGACACUGGAGACUCCUUCCAUAAAUGUUAAAUAAGCACCUGCUUGCAGAAAUUUUAAACAUAUCAAUGAUUAUGCAUCUUUGUAUCAGACAACCUGAAGAAGGAAUUUCUGCUAAUUACUUCCCCUUAUUUUUGUAUUUCUACUAUGAAAUAGCCAUUUAAAUAAAGGCUUUUAAACAAUUUCAAACAGAAGUGUGCCUUGGAUUGCAUGUUUUGGAUUAUGUUUUUUUACCCCCACCAAAGAGCACCUUCAAAUAUACUCCACAGAACUUCUAAGCAUACCAGAUCUGUUUUUUGAAACGUGUAUUUAAUUGUUUAUUAUUAGCCUUAGACGUGGACCCUCUGCCGUACACAUUUCUGUGAAUGAGCUGUUACGAUAGAAACGGUAAAUUAUUGGAAUGGGCACAUUAAUAUAAAUUGAAUAAAAUGUAAUCUAAAAUUUUUUUUGAAUUAUAUAAUUAAUAUAUUACAGCCAUAACUACUUCAGAGCCAUGAUGUUGUAGACAGUUAAUCAACAUCUUCUGACCAGUCACAAUCAAGCAUUCAGCAGCGCUGUGGUAUAAUGAAGUAUAAUUAAUUUUUAUAAAUGAGUAAAAUCUAAUGACUAUAAAACAUUGCAGUGGUGGUAAAUACACAGCUGAAAGACAUAAACACAAUUUGCUCAACACAACUUGUACUCAUUAUUUAAUCAUAAUUAAUGUUUUGGUAACAUUGAUUUAAAUAAAUGUGAAGGUGUGGCUGAAGACUCAAGUCUCUCUGGCUGACCCUGGCUCACAUUUAAACAUCUUGUUACAAUUUGCAACUGAUUUACUAGAACUCUGGCAGGUCAUUUUAAACAUGCACAUAGGACCUUCCCAACCUAACUACAUUGCUGUAUUGGAAAUACCGGAAUUUGGGUGUGGCUUCAACUGCUAGCAGUGGCCCUGGGUUCAAUUUUGCAGCUGUGCUCACUGAUAUCAUGGGCAUAUAUCUCACACACUUUCUGUUGACGUGAAGAUUCCAAGACUAUAAAGUCCUGUAUUUCUAUUAAGAAUUGAGUCUAUUCUGUAUAUGUGGAAUCUAGGAAUGAAGAGGAUGUCUGUUUACAGUUAACCAGUUUGAUAAUUGAUAGUAAGAUCUUUUUUUUUUUUAAUGACUGCUCUGAUAUCUUUUUGAUUGUGUAUGCCUGGGGGUAGGUGUUGUCAGUAGCAGCAGCUGGGCACGGCUGCGUGUGCGCAUGUUUGUAUGUAUGUGUCUGAAUGGCAGGUCGGCUGGGGACACAAGCAGCUAUGACCCCAUGACAAUGUGGGAAAAAGCACAGCAAACAGACCUACAGUACAGUGCCCGCCCCUUUAGACCCUCAGAACCAAUCAGAGUGCUCGUCUGGCGUGCAGGGUGCAGUAACAGCCACAGCAGCUUCGGAACAGAGUGGACAGUGUGCGCCGCCAUGAAUUAUGGGUAGCACCAGAAACAAAGAGGUUCUUCAUCCUUGCCGAGCUCCUUGCGCAUCCUCUUAUAUGAAGCUCUCUGUGGUCUGCUUUGCUUAUUGUCUUUUCAAGAAAAAAAUAAGCAACGAUGCAACCACUCCGAUUUUUAUUACAGCUCCCACACAAAUGCCGCACUAAUAGGUCUACCAGUGUUUUUUUUUCUUUCCCAUGACAUCAUCGUAAUGAAGGAGUUCUUUAUUUCCCCAAAGAUAGACUAUAAUUAAGCAUUAGAUCUACUGGGCAGAAGGUGUCGUCUCACCUAAGAUAAUUUAGUUGCUUUUAAAUCAUUUGAGAUAUUUGAGUGUGGAUGUAGAAGUUUGGUUUGAUCAUGCACACAUAUUCAGUCUAAUUUCAACAACUGCUAAAGAUUGAUUUUUGAUAUUUGAUACGGAUGCUACCAUAAAUGUAAAUUGGUCACUUGAAAAAUGUGCGAAGUGUAUAAAACCUUUUUUUAAUAGAAGAUAAUGUCAAUUAUAUUGUAACCCACAUAGCUUUGUAUGAGAGAAAGGCUCGAGGGCAGCUGUGGGCAGCACCGUCUACGUGUCUGCAUGCAUAAAACGGUGUUUUGAAUGCAGCGUGAGGCUGCUGCUAACUUCGUCUGGCAGGUCGGUAGAGAGGGAGAGUGCAUGUGUUAGGGGAGACUGGUGGCCCAUCUGUUUGAGAUGGGGGUUAAAGCGAGGGAUUGGUGGAGGGCUGCCGCAGUUGUGCGUGAGUGGAAUGUUGGAGAGACUGUAUGAGAGCAGGAGAGGGAGAGGCGUGGAAUUUAUAGGGGUGAGACACAGUGCCAUCUUAAUGUACUGUAGUGUGAGUGCGUAUGUUGAUCGCAAACACAGCUGUACAGUGGAGAAAGUCAUCACAGCACUCAGGAGUCGCUCCCUCAGUCCCCCUCACUCACCCUUCCCCCAUACGCAUGUAUGCAUACACGCCUUCCCCGCCAGUCUGUGCGUACUAUAGGAAUGCUGUGCGCUUUGUUUACAGGCAAGGCAAUGGGGAAAUGGCUCACCGGUUGCUGGGUAUCCCCUGGGAAACCAUUGCCAUUGGCCGCAGGGUGUUUAGGAUUAUUUGGGUGUCAUGGUGUCAGUCUCACUUUGCCGAGUAGAACAGGCAGCUGGGAAUUAAAGAGCAAGAAUCAGGAGAUUGCAUGUCUGGCUUGAGAAACUGACCUACAGUGACAUACAGUUGUUCUCCUCUCGCAGCUCCGGCACUGACAGCAUACACCAGACAUAGCUAAGCGCUAGCUUAGGUCACCACUGUUUUUAUUCACGUGCGUGUAUUUAGAGUGCUCACUCUGUUUUAUGGGUGUCUGCAUUGCCACAUACUAAAUCUGCUUGCUGCUGAUCCUUAGAAAAUAUGAGGAUCUGCUCUGCUGUUGUUCACUUUGUGCUCAGCAACCAGUGCAAACUGUCAGCUAAACAAUCGUGAAAUUUACUGUUGUGUCCAUGCGCCAUGCUUUCAGCAUUGUGUGAAAGUGUUAAUCUUGCUGCAAUGAACAUAUUGUCAGGGCUUGCCAAAAUGGCUUCUCUGUAAAAUAAAUAAAUAAGCAAGCAAGUAAGUAAAUAAAUAAAUUGUAUGUAUUGGUGUGGAAAUGACAAUUUUUUUUGUUUGUUUGUUCAUAAACACAGAAACAAAAACAAUUAUUGACUUGAUUAGAAUUAUUUUGUUUGUUUGUUUGUUUGUUUGUUUGUUUGUGUAUGUGUGUGUGUGUCAGCUAAAGGUGGCAAAAAGCCAGAGGGCACAUUUUAAGUGGCAAAUAGAACUGCAGAUUAGUAUUUAUUUUUGGUUUAGGGAAGUCUUCCAAGAAGCAUGUGUGUGUGUGUGUGUGUGUGUGUGUGUGUGUGUGUGUGUGUGUGUGUGUGUGUGAGGGUGGGGGUUUGUUCGGGCAGAGGAUCUGGGAGAGGCUAGCAGGAGGAUGGUAGAGAAGUUUUACCUGGACUGCCUCUUGUGGCAGCAGCUGGAAGAGGGGAGCAGGCAGAAGGGACGAGGUUAAGGGGUGACAGCAUUAUUGCACAACUAUUUCCUCCCUAGCCAGAUUUCCACAGUCUCUUUCUUUUCUCCUUCGUUUUAUUCAGCAGUGAGAGUGAAAGCGAAUGAGAGUGGGAGAGAGCACGAGAGAGAGAGAGCAAGAGAGAGAGUGAAAGAGAACCAAGCCAGUUUUUUUUAAGACUCGAUCUUGGCUUUCUUACAAACAGAUGUUGCCUGUCAUUUGGUCGUUAAGCAGGCACCCAUUUCGUGGAUUCAGAGGUUUUACAAGCAUUAAAACCUCUAGGUGUAUUUAUGCUUUUACUAUCAGGAAAAUCAAUCUUUUAUAAAUAGCGAAAACUUUUUUUUUCUUUUUUUAAUUUAUAAAAUUUACUUUUUUUUCAGGGGGUCUGAAUCAUAUUCCGCAUUGUUUUCGUUAGUCUUUCUUUGCUCUUUGCGUUUCGUUAUCAAGUUUUUUUUCUUUAAAGUUGCAUGUUUUGUGUUGCUCGUGGGCCACAGUGGACUGGACUCUUCAAACCUCCUGCCAAAUGCUGCAGGCACAGUGAGUAUAGACAGACGAUUUGGAAACAAUAAAACAGAGCCUUGGUAAGUCACUAUUAACAUGCUCCGGAGCUCGACUGUAUUUUCAGCGUCUGAAUUCUGCACUUGUCUUUUGUGUGUAUCCCACGUUUAACGCUUCGUAUGAGGUGAAAGGCCUAGCGCAUAUCCACAUAGUUCUUCAUAAACAGUGAUUUGCUAUUUUUAUUUUAAUAAAUAAAUGAAUGUUUGAUUCGUUGUUCGGCUGGGUUUGAGUUGUGCAUGCAUGCUGUGCAGUGUGUGUGUGUGUGUGUGUGUGUGUGUGUGUGUGUGUGUGUGAGAAAGAUAGUGAGUGAGACAGAGGUUUUUUUGGGGUACGUCUCCCCCACAGUGCUGGAGUCUUUACUCCUGUGCUCCUAAAGGCAAGACAAUCAUGUAUUUUUUCCCCUCUCUUUCUGCCCUCUUAUUGAAGAGGGUGUUUUAACUUCUUGGCAUCACCUCACUAACAUAGUUAAAGGAACCUGGCACCAGCAUCAAAGUCCAAAUCCGGUCAUUGAAAUUCAAGUGCUGGGGAGUACCUAAAGUAAAACAUCCAUCAGUCCUUUAAGUGUGAGUGCUGGAUGAGUCCAAAUUGAGCAUCAAAUAAUUUCACACAGGCCCACUUGUUAUUAACAGCAGCAUAUUAUACUUUGCAGGCCAGAUUUACUUCACAUGUCUCUAUUAGGGACUCUUUCAUCUUUUCUCUGCCCAUUUUAAGCACAUUCAAAGCUGCAUAAUAAUACAUUUAAAAAGAAACUUGUUGGUUAACAGUGUUCAAGUGCUCUGCGUGCUUACGGAGCAAAAUUAACAUUGAGACGUCAUUGUAAUUCUGUUUACAGGUUUUUACAAAUAAGUAGUUUACUAGUAGCUAUAUACUGUAGCCUAGUGGUAAAUUCAUAAUACCAGAAGUAAAUGCAUGCUGCAUAGUAUUCAUUAAAAACAGUUGGCAAAUCUGGAUAUUUUCUGUUUCACUCUGCUGUUUUAAGCUGAUAAAUAUUUGAGAAUAAAAAGCUGAUUUUCAUUUACAUCUGGGUUUUGUGUGAACACAGAUGAAAAAGUUAAUGCUUGAUAGUUGUAGAUUAUGUAAAAAAAAAAUAAAAAAAAAAGCCCUUGAAAAUAUUCAAUUUGAUUCAAUUCAGAUGUAUUAUAUAGCACUGUUAAUAAUAGAUUUUGUCACAAAGCAGCUUUACAGAAAUCCUUACAGAAAUGACAGAAUAUAGUCACUACUACCUUGCAGGCCCAUAGUUUACCUGACUGAGCAGGUUUAGUGGGAAGCGAACAAGUGCCUGCUGGGAUUUAAAAAUUUCUGAGUUUGAGAUUUUUCGCUGCUUUUUGCAAUCUCACGUGUCUUCCUAAUGAAUGUUAAACACCAUUUGUUCUACACUACUUUGAUAUUUGAUUUGAUAAAGUAGAGCUCAGUUCUGAAAUAUUCGUAUUACAAAAUAUCCUAACAAAUGAUGUGCAUCAUCAUUUAUCAUCAUUUUGAGGUUUCACUAUAAUCUUUCGUGUCAUGUUUAGUCAUAGCACUUACUUAUCACGGUUAGAUGUUAAUUCUAUUACAAUUUUAUUUCUAUGUCUUCUUCUAAAAUGGAUUUUUUUUUUGUAAUUUAAAAUGAGAAUUUGAUAUUUCAUAUGAGCAUUUUAAAAGAAAUUUAAAUAAAUUAUUUACAAUUGGCCUUUUUGUUCUUAAUAGGUUAUUAAUUAUUAGAACAGCACAAUGAUACUGUAUUGUAUCAUCAGUGUAUGUAUCAAAAAUAUGUUCAGAAUAAUCAGAGAAAUAGUUGGCAUAUUACUGUUUUUCUAUGUAGUUUUUUUUCUACUGUAAUUUUAUUUAUUGGUGCUUUGUAAGAUUAUUUUGCAUGCUGAGUAAAAUGCAUUGAUAAUCUUUUAACGCUUCACUCCCACUUUAUGGUUUUUACUUAUAAAUCAUUAUUUUGUAAACCCCCCCCCCCCCCCCCAUUAAUGCCUUGUCUUUUUUCAAUAAUCCUUUCUGGUGGUUUUGUUUUGAUUUUUUUUGUAAAUCCUUGGGAGAUCAGAUACUGCAGGGGAAAUUCCAAACACUUGCCAGCCUCAGCCAGACCCGACCUUUUGCUUUACUCGUUAUUCACAAAAUUCCAUACUGGUUUCACCCUUGUUUUUUUGUUUGUUUGUUUGUUUUUUAUCGAGCUCUCUGUAUGAUUUCUCCGAGCUAGUUGUUCUGCUGUGCUCCUUUUUCUGUGAUACCUUUCCUUUAGAAAAAUUAGCGUUAUUUUUAACCAAAGAUAUGAUGGCUCCAUUGUGAAACUUUACAGACAUUUCAGGAAAAUUAUGUUUUAAAAUAAAAGCUUGUAUUGUUAUGUGAAUAUAGGGUGUGGUCAAAAUGUUAUUUGGGUCUAAACAGUAAGUGAAUAUCUUGAAUAUCAUGUUGACGUACAUUACACUUAGAUGAGUGUAAUUUCACCAUAUUUCUCUUACAAACAGUCGUACGCUAUUACUAUUCAUGUAGCAACUGUUAACUGCACUUUGCACAGCCACAUGCAAGUGGCCUUCAGUCCACAUCCAGAGUGAAAUACAGACUCUCUGUACUUAUGAUUCAUGCAUGUGUAUGUUUGUAAGAUACAAAAGCAAACUGAGUCGUUUAAAAGAGUUAGUACUCAUCCUUGCCAGUGAAACACUUCUGUGUAUAGGAGAAGUAGAAUGAGCAGACCAGUUGAAUGUAAACAAUUAAAAACAUGAAUAAGUGAAUAUUUAUGGAUAUUUUAAAUAUAUUUUAAGAAUAUGCAAACAAAUGUAAAAGCAUGAGUGGCUAUCAACAGUCAAAUAUGCAAAUGAGCUGCAUAAAGCUUGCAAUAACAAAACAAAAUAGAAAAUAUUAAACUAUUUAAGUCAAAAUGAACUUUAUUUGUAGGAUACAUCCACAUGUGGCUUAGAAAAAAUACAAAUUAAGGUUAAAAAAUGGAGAAAAAACAUUAAUUAAUUAAAAAAAAAGUAAAUUAAGUUUACAAAUGUACUUUGUAAUGUAAAAGUGCUAAGGAUGCAAACUAGGAAAUUGGACACAGGCUUUGCAGCACCAGUCAUGUGACAGUGAAGGGUUUUUUUUCAACAACUUGAAGCUAUUAGACAUGCAAUUGAAAACAUAGCCAAUAGAUCACCCAUAGACGAGGGGGCUGUGGCUCUAUGAUUGUAAAGGUAAAACAAGUGGGUUCUCCAUGUUGUAAAAUCAGGUGGUCUGGUUUUCUAAGGAUGAGAUUAACUGAGACAGCUACAGCUGGACUGGAAAUACAUCCAUAGUCUGCUUGCCACAUGAAGUAAGCGAAGUAGAGGAAGUUCUAAAUGAUGCUUUGUAUGUGUUAAAAAAAAAUUAAUAAAAGCCACAAGCACAUUAUGGUAUAAAAUUAAACCAAGGUUUCAGACAACCCAUGUUCUAAAGCUGACAUUUUCUGUAUUUAAAACUGUAGAUACAUGGAUGUAGUUGUGUGGCAGCCUGAGAAAACCCUUCACAUGGCCCUUCAUUUGGACAUUAUCUUCUGUACUAUAUAUACUGUACAGUAUUGUGCAAAGUCUUAGGAACCUUUUGUUUAUUUAUUUAUUUUUAUUUUAUUUUUUUAAAUAUGAAUCUUACAUGUUUAAUGUUUUGUGCAUUAUUGCAUCAGUAAAAAGGUCUAGUUUUUAGAUUUACAAACGUUAUUUUUUUCACAAAAAAACCCAAAACUUUGAUGUCAGUAAAGAAAACAACCAGCCAGUUUUCUCAUAAAAAUCUGUGAUGUGCACCUGAGACUGCUGCAACAUUUUUAAAAGCAAAGCAUUGUCACACCAAAUAUUGACUUUGUUUACUUUAUUGGUGUUUACUUAACUAUAGGGGGGGUUUUUUACGUAAAAAAAGUUUAAUUUCAUUAUUUUUGAAGGCAUAUUUACUUCUGGUCAAAACAUUUGGCAAUUUUCCACAAUUCAGCCCCACCAACCAGCAUCAGAUUGGGUUUUGUAGAUCACCACACAAUAUCUAGAACCCUGUGCAAGAAAUCACAUGAGGAGAAAGGAACUAGAUUGUUGAUCAAGUUAUGAACUUGAUCACCUGCAUGGUUCUUCCACUAUAUCUGAUUCUACGUGACUUUGGAGAAAACAAACUACAAACACUACUUGAUAAUUCCUCAACACUUUCUCACAUGCAGCUUGUAAGACAGAUUUGAAGUGUAUUUGGGUGUAUUGGAAUAUUCAGGAUUUGAAUAAUUUAUUUUAAAAAAUUAAUGUUGCUAUUAAUUAUUUAAAGCUAUCUGUGUGUCAAUCUUCUUGGAAUCCUUUCUUUGAGGUCUCAGUAAAAAAAUACUGUAGUCACAUUAUUAACUUUUUGAUUUUUCUCAAAAGCUAGAACUUUGGAGGAUGCUACUGCUGGCAUAAAAGUCUAUUAGCAUUAUACAAUGCAGUUUUUAUCUGUGUGAAUAUUCUUAGUAUAGCAACUUGAAUAAGAACUAUAGGUUCUAGACUUUGGAUCACACAUCAGACAUAGAUCAAGCAUAUAUAAUAAUUGAAUUAGUAAUGGCACUGUAGUGAUAUACUUUGUCUUUUUUUUUUAAUUAUUAUUCUCGGAGAGACAUGCCUGCUGACACAAACCCGUAGAUCCGAACUUGUGGUGACUUUCCACACAAGCUUGUAUCUAUAGGUAUCUGUCUGUCGGGCCUUCACAACUGCCUCAUUUGCCAAUUCAGUGUUGUCUUUACUAAAGGUUUUGCCGUAACCUUUAUGACAGCCUGAAACACAGAUUUACGGCCUCAUUUGAAGUUUGGAGAACAUCAGGUUUAGCAUUUCUCAUAACAGAUUGCCUUAGCAUUGGAGUAGUUUUGCUGGUGGCAUGUAUUUUGUAAGCAGGUUGCAGUGAUGAUUGUGCCAGCUUUCAGUCUGACAUUACACCGUGACAUUCAGAUUGUUUCUCUUGGUAGACUCAUGGACCUUUACUUAGCUCCCCUCAAAGUUCUUCCAUGCUCCCCAGGCUGAGGUAGUAGGUUGUAUAGUUUAGAGUUAUACUAUGGGAGAUAACUGUACAACCUCCUAGCUUUCCCUGAGGUAUGCAUGCUUCAACUACAUCCUAAACUAAAUAUAUACAUGAUGCCACAGAAUAACUAGUGUUAGUGUGUAUGGUGGGGUAAAAUUGUCAGCAAAAAAAGGACUCAUAGUUGGCAAAUUAAGUCUAAAAAUUGCAUCAAUAUUUAUAUUGUUAAAGUUAUGUGUAUUCAGAGAUGGGUUAUGCACAUGUUGAAGCUCAUUCUCUGAGAGGGCCGUUCAUUAUGCAGAUCACUUGCAUGUAUUUCACAACUCCAAGGUUGCAAGAGUUUCCUUUAGUAGAAGUAUCUAAGACAGGAGUUUUCAGUAGCAUCUAGACCAUGCUUUAAACCAUAAGCACUUGCUUUUAAGCCUGAAAACUUACAGAUAGUCAAUGCAAACUGAAGAAUCAGACAUCAGUUUUUUUCUUUGCUGCCAAAUAUACAGGGUGUCCCAAAAGUCUCUAUACGUGGAGGAAAUUAACACUUUUUUUUUUUUAGCAAAAUGCUUCCAAAGUUUUUCAUACCUAGUUUAUAUAUAUUAAUA
ensembl:lncRNA